rnacentral:rRNA from 1 species
CUAUUCCUACGGGAGGCAGCAGUAGGGAAUCUUCCACAAUGGACGAAAGUCUGAUGGAGCAACGCCGCGUGAGUGAAGAAGGGUUUCGGCUCGUAAAGCUCUGUUGGGAGUGAAGAAAGAUAGAGGUAGUAACUGGCCUUUAUUUGACGGUAAUUACUUAGAAAGUCACGGCUAACUACGUGCCAGCAGCCGCGGGAAUACGGAGGUUGCAAGGGUUGUCCGGAUUUAUUGGGCGGA